GGCAAAUAAAACUAACAUGUGAGAAGUCUUUCUUUAUAUAAUGUGUACACAAGUAGAAAUAUCUUCACACCAAAUCAAACAUAAAAUCUAAUUUUGCCCAAUAAACGCAGCAAUGGAGUCUCGAGUUGUCAAACUCUUGAGUUUUCUUACAAAUUGUAUUGCAUUACGUAAAUUAUCCUUUAGGAUCUCAUACUACGACAAGUUUGAGAACUAACCAAUGGUGGUGUCUGGCACCUGGGUACCAUCCAUAUGGGGGGGCGCCUUUUAUCAAAUGUUUGCUACAACAGGGUGUUUAGACUCUGUACCAUCUUUCUUGGAUUUCGAGCUCACAAGCAUCACGUUUAUACUUACCAGAAGGUACUUGGGCAAAAUAAUCCCCUGCUUUCCCCCCCUUCUCCCAAUGAUGCCACACUUGGUACAGUAGGAAGCCAAGGACAAAAGAAUGGAAGAGUACAUAUAUAUUACGUAUAAUACAGCAGCAUCAUGGCUUGACAUGAACAAAUAAUUCGCACUGGAACCCAAGUGUCAGUUGGUAUUGUCAGUGGUGCGUUUUAUUUGAAGAGCAGCUCUGACAACAUUGCCCCUUGUGAUAAUCCCAACCAGUUUACCAUCAACAUCUACAACUGGUAGCCGACGGUAUUUCGUUUGGAGCAACAACCUCGCAGCAUCUUCAAGGUUGGUGUUUUCACAGACGGACAAUGGACUCGGCGUCAUGACAUCACCAACAACUUUCCCAUUAGUUUUGCUCAGUAGCUUUUGAACCUCAUUGAAUGUCUUCCAAGUACUAUCAACAUCAGGAAACAGAUUUGUGUCAGCUUGGCCAGCUCCUGAUAUAGAGUCGAGUGCCAGUAGGUCAUAAUCAGAAACAACGCCAACCAAUUUCCAGUCAUCAUCAACUACAGGAAGCCCAGUAACUCUUUUUUCCACAAGCAUCUCAAGGGCUUCACCAACUUUAGUUGUAGUUUUUACUACAUGUAAAUCUUCUUUCCUAGUCAUAAAGUCACCAACCGAGUAAUGUCCAUCGCUUGGAGACUGAGAAUUUGAAGUAGAAGCAGCGGCAUUAGCGGAGGUUGAAGGAAGAGACGCCGGAGGGAGAGAUCGAGAAAGUUUCCGUUGAGAUAAACAUCGGCGAGAUGUAGCAACGGCUGGAUCUCCUGAAAGUGGACGAGGCGAGCAAGAGAGCGUGGUCGGAAAAAGGCGAUAGUUAAGUACGCAAAUCGGAGAAAUUGAGUUGAAAUUGAGAACGGACUCCAUUGUUAUUGAAGGAUGAAAAUGUUGGUAUUGUUGCACAGUUGUUGAUCUGAUUCAUUCAAAGAGAAAAUAUUGCGCGGAAAUCGUGUUAAUUAAUGUGAAGAAGGAAAAGAAUCGUGAGGAAAGAAGAGUCGC
rnacentral:misc_RNA from 1 species